GUCGGAGUCAGGGAGAGAGAGAGAGACAGGGAGAGAGUCGGAGAGGGAGAGAGAGAGAGACAGGGAGAGAGUCGGAGAGGGAGAGAGAGAGAGAGACAGGGAGAGGGAGAGACAGGGAGAGGGAGAGACAGGGAGAGAGAGAGACAGGGAGAGAGAGAGACAGGGAGAGGGAGAGAGAGAGUCAGGGAGAGGGAGAGAGAGAGUCAGGGAGAGAGAGAGUCAGGGAGAGAGAGAGAGACAGGGAGAGAGAGAGAGACAGGGAGAGAGAGGGAGAGAGAGAGAGAGAGAGUCAGGGAGAGAGAGAGAGUCAGGGAGAGAGAGAGUCAGGGAGAGAGAGUCAGGGAGAGAGAGAGAGUCAGGGAGAGGGAGAGAGAGUCAGGGAGAGAGAGAGAGAGUCAGGGAGAGAGAGAGAUUUCAGGGAGAGAGAGAGAGAGUCAGGGAGAGAGAGAGA
ensembl:lncRNA